rnacentral:sRNA from 1 species
CAUGCCCCUUAUACGCUGGGCUACACACGUGCUACAAUGGGUAGAACAGAGAGUUGCAAAGCCGUGAGGUGAAGCUAAUCUCAGAAAACUAUUCUUAGUUCGGAUUGUACUCUGCAACUCGAGUACAUGAAGUUGGAAUCGCUAGUAAUCGCGAAUCAGCAAUGUCGCGGUGAAUACGUUCUCGGGUCUUGUACACACCGCCCGUCACACCACGAGAGUUGGUUGCACCUGAAGUAGCAGGCCUAACCGUAAGGAUGGAUGCUCCGAGGGUGUGAUUAGCGAUUGGGGUGAAGUCGUAACAAGGUAUCCGUACGGGAACGUGCGGAUGGAUCACCUCCUUUCUAAGGAGUAUAAGUCUUUCUCUAUUCUAUUGGUAAUGUUCUUUACAUUACUUCUGAACAUUGGAAACUAUAUAGUAGAACAAACAAGAAAAAAAUUAACUCUAACAAUUUCUUAGAGUUAGCUGUCAAAAAAUAGAUUAAAAUAAUUAAGGGCACACAAAGGAUGCCUAGGUAGUAAGAGCCGAUGAAGGACGUGGUAAGCUGCGAUAAGCCUAG